rnacentral:piRNA from 1 species
UUUUUUACGGUUACUAGAAAC